rnacentral:rRNA from 1 species
AUAAGUUUACUUUUGGAGCGGUUAGUGGCGGACUGGUGAGUAACGCGUAAGGAAUCUGCCUAUAAGAGGGGAAUAACAGUGAGAAAUCAUUGCUAAUACCGCAUAAGCUCUGAAUAUCGCAUGAUAAAAAGAGAAAAGGAGAAAUCCGCUUAUAGAUGAUCUUGCGUCUGAUUAGUUAGUUGGUGAGGUAAAGGCCCACCAAGACGAUGAUCAGUAGCCGGACUGAGAGGUUGAACGGCCACAUUGGGACUGAGAUACGGCCCAGACUCCUACGGGAGGCAGCAGUCGGGAAUAUUGCGCAAUGGAGGAAACUCUGACGCAGUGACGCCGCGUGCAGGAAGAAGGUUUUCGGAUUGUAAACUGCUUUAGAUAGGGAAGAAAAAAAUGACAGUACCUAUAGAAUAAGCUCCGGCUAACUACGUGCCAGCAGCCGCGGUAAUACGUAGGGAGCGAGCGUUAUCCGGAUUUAUUGGGUGUAAAGGGUGCGUAGAUGGAUAAACAAGUUGGUUGUGAAAUCCCUCGGCUUAACUGAGGAAUUGCAACCAAAACUGUAGAUCUUGAGUACUGGAGGGGAAAGCGGAAUUCCUAGUGUAGCGGUGAAAUGCGUAGAUAUUAGGAAGAACACCGGUGGCGAAGGCGGCUUUCUGGACAGAAACUGACAUUGAGGCACGAAAGUGUGGGGAGCAAACAGGAUUAGAUACCCUGGUAGUCCACACCGUANACGAUGGAUACUAGGUGUAGGUGAUGAUAAGUCAUCUGUGCNGUCGCAAACGCAAUAAGUAUCCCACCUGGGGAGUACGGCCGCAAGGUUGAAACU